GCCAGACUCCUACGGGAGGCAGCAGUGGGGAAUAUUGCACAAUGGGGGAAACCCUGAUGCAGCGACGCCGCGUGAAGGAAGAAGUAUUUCGGUAUGUAAACUUCUAUCAGCAGGGAAGAAAAUGACGGUACCUGACUAAGAAGCCCCGGCUAACUACGUGCCAGCAGCCGCGGUAAUACGUAGGGGGCAAGCGUUAUCCGGAUUUACUGGGUGUAAAGGGAGCGUAGGCGGUUUAGCAAGUCAGAAGUGAAAGCCCGGGGCCCAACCCCGGGACUGCUCUGGAAACUGCGGCGCUGGAGUACGGGAGGGGCAGGCGGAAUUCCUGGUGUAGCGGUGAAAUGCGUAGAUAUCAGGAGGAACACCGGCGGCGAAGGCGGCCUGCUGGACCGUGACUGACGUUGAGGCUCGAGAGCGUGGGGAGCAAACAGGAUUAGAUACCCUAGUA
rnacentral:rRNA from 1 species